rnacentral:lncRNA from 1 species
UGUUAUCUUCAGGCUCAAGCUUUAAAAUUCAUGAUAACUAUAUUAAUGCCAAAAAAACUGGUGAGGCAAAAUUUCUCUUAUGUUAAUGGUAUUAUAUUUAAAUUUUGAUGGAAGAAGAUUUAAGGAAAAAUGGAUGAACAAUUAUUUUUUCAUAGAACACAACCAUUAUGACUCACAUCCCAAGAAUGAAUGAUCACUGUAAAGGACUAAUAUUCAGUAAUACUAAGGACUUAAACUAAAAUGUGUUUCAAGAACAAUUUCAUAGAGAAAAAAAUAGGAGAUUAUUACUGUGUUCAAAGCUGUUUUGUUGAUUGCUAUCUUUAUAUUCAAACUGAAUCUUCUACACACACAAAUUACAAGAUUAUAAAAAUGAUUGUACAAAGUGGAUCAUUAUUCAUGAAUGGAGAAUUAAAAAUAAUAAUGGAUGAAAUUUAUCACCUUGCG